UUGACCUCGGAUCAGGUAGGGAUACCCGCUGAACUUAAGCAUAUCAAUAAGCGGAG
rnacentral:rRNA from 24 species